AAUGGAUGCGAUGGUUCCCAUGCUGUUCUGAGGCAGAGCUAGGGCCAUCUCAUCCAGAUA
rnacentral:pre_miRNA from 1 species